rnacentral:rRNA from 1 species
GUGACCUGCGGAGGWCAUUA